rnacentral:rRNA from 1 species
UACAGAGGUCCCGAGCGUUGUUCGGAUUCACUGGGCGUAAAGGGUGCGUAGGUGGCAUGGUAAGUUUGAUGUGAAAGCUCAGGGCUCAACCCUGAAAUGGCAUUGAAUACUACUGUGCUGGAGGUUUGGAGGGGGGACUGGAAUUCUCGGUGUAGCAGUGAAAUGCGCAGAUAUCAGGAAGAACACCCGUGGCUAAGGCGGCUCUCUAGUACGGUACUGACGCUGAGACGCGAAAGCGUGGGGAGCGAACAGG